rnacentral:rRNA from 1 species
CAGCCGCCACGGUAAAACGGAGGGGGCUAGCGUUGUUCGGAAUUACUGGGCGUAAAGCGCACGUAGGCGGCUUGGUAAGUUAGAGGUGAAAGCCCAGGGCCCAACCCUGGAAUUGCCUUUAAGACUGCCGAGCUAGUAGGUGAGAGAGGUGAGUGGAAUUCCGAGUGUAGAGGUGAAAUUCGUAGAUAUUCGGAAGAACACCAGUGGCGAAGGCGGCUUACUGGCUCAUUCUAGACGCUGAGGUGCGAAAGCGUGGGGAGCAAAUAGGAUUAGAUACCCGAGUAGUCCCUGUCUCUUAUAC